rnacentral:rRNA from 1 species
CCUACGGGGUGCAGCAGUGGGGAAUAUUGGACAAUGGGCGAAAGCCUGAUCCAGCCAUGCCGCGUGUGUGAAGAAGGCCUUCGGGUUGUAAAGCACUUUCAGUGGGGAAGAAAGCCUUGGGGCUAAUACCCUCGAGGAAGGACAUCACCCACAGAAGAAGCACCGGCUAACUCCGUGCCAGCAGCCGCGGUAAUACGGAGGGUGCGAGCGUUAAUCGGAAUUACUGGGCGUAAAGCGCGCGUAGGCGGUCUGAUAAGCCGGUUGUGAAAGCCCCGGGCUCAACCUGGGAACGGCAUCCAGAACUGUCAGGCUAGAGUGCAGGAGAGGAAGGUAGAAUUCCCGGUGUAGCGGUGAAAUGCGUAGAGAUCGGGAGGAAUACCAGUGGCGAAGGCGGCCUUCUGGACUGACACUGUCGCUGAGGUGCGAAAGCGUGGGUAGCAAACAGGAUUAGAUACCCGGGUAGUC